GCGACCCCAGGAUGGGCGAGGCCACCCGCCGAGUUUAAGCAUAUCAAUAAGCGGAGGAGAAGA
rnacentral:rRNA from 3 species